GGAGUGAGAUCCUUCCCGCAAUCGGACGAAAGUCUGACGGAGCAACGCCGCGUGAGUGAUGAAGGCUUUCGGGUCGUAAAACUCUGUUGUUAGGGAAGAACAAGUGCUAGUUGAAUAAGCUGGCACCUUGACGGUACCUAACCAGAAAGCCACGGCUAACUACGUGCCAGCAGCCGCGGUAAUUA
rnacentral:rRNA from 1 species